AGGUCUUGCUGAAUGGCAGCACAGCCUUCUGGUGUGGCAACCACCCUUCCCAGCUUCGUAUCAUCACCAAACUUGCUGAGUGUGCUCACUCCUAAGAAGUCUUCCAGUCCCCAGCAGCUUGUCUGUUACAGAAAGUAGCAGCAUUUAGUUCUGUGGUGUAGCCCUGGAACAGGAGGGGCUGAUGUGAUACUUAGCAAGAAGAUGCUGUUAUAGGGAGGCUGGAAAAAGAAUGCUGCUUUCAAAUACACAAGGGUGUCAGCACAGCAGUGUGAAGUGUGGAUGUAGGCAGAAAAGCCAAGGCUAAAAAGGCAGACUGACCCUGAAGUUCCUUAUGAAGGUCAUUUUGCUGCUUCCAACAGUCUGCUGCUCUCAUAAAAUGCAAAGUGUGUCUGUGGCUUGAGCUUCCUUUUGGACAAGUUCAUCUUAACUCUCAGCUUGAAACCACUUAUACAUUCUUCGGGAGAACAUCUGAGUGAGUAUGAAUCAUAGAAUGGCCUGGGUUGAAAAGGACCACAAUGAUCAUCGAGUUUGAACCCCCCUGCUACGUGCAGGGCCGCCAACCACCAGACCAGGCUGCCCAGAAUGUAUGUAUUGGCAAAGGACCAGAGGUGAUGUCAGUUCUGCUACUAGCGCAGCUGUUGGUGGCACAGGAUGCAAUGAAUGUGAAUCGCGUGAAGAUUCACUCAGCUUCUUGGAGGGUUUAUGAAGCUACAACUGAAAGCUGUGCUCAAAUAUUGUUUGAACCUCGCUUUUUUCUCCACAAGAUGCUGCAGUAUUCUACUACAAUGCUCAGAAUAAUGUUAUUCAUUUUCAUUAUCUUACUAGAACCUCACAUUCCACUUAUUUCAUACAUGAUAGCUGUGACUGCACAAGAAGACAUUCACGUUGACUCAUUCAUAACAAUAUCUAAAGGGCUACACUUAAUUAGUAUUCAUUAGGUAAGGGAAUUUUAAGCUGUGCUUUCUAAUAUACCCUCCUGUGGAUUUGCAGAAAUGAAAUUUCCUACAUUACUGGGUUGCCCAACUGCCGGAAUCUUUGAAAGCUUCUAAGCAUCUUCGUUCAUCAAAAUGAUUGUAGAUAACUCAAUAAACUGGCACCUCCUAAUUCAAUAGUUCUUCCACAUAUUUCAGAGUAAUUCUGAUUCCACACUUUUUUUUCCUGUGAUAAAUAUUACAAUUAUCUUAGUAAGACUAUUCCUGUCUCUCCCAUCAAGAAAGGCAUUUAUUUUGGAAGGGUGCUGAUAUACAAAAGGGGUCAAUGAAAUCAAGGCUUAACAUACUGCAGAGCUUUGAGUCUUCCAGUUAGUACCCUUUCAUAGCGGAAGAAAAAUCAGUUUGUUUUAACUUUUUUCCUCUUUUAAAAUUUCUAAUCUAAUUUCAAAACUUCAUAAUUGCUUGAAAGUGAAACCCUAAGGCUGAGGUUCUGUUGCUAUAUCUGUACCACAAACAGCACUGACAAAAGUAUUAAUAGUCAAGAUGAAAACAUGAUAAACUGCCU
rnacentral:lncRNA from 7 species